UACGUAGGGUGCAAGCGUUGUCCGGAAUUAUUGGGCGUAAAGAGCUCGUAGGCGGUUUGUCGCGUCUGCUGUGAAAACCCGAGGCUCAACCUCGGGCCUGCAGUGGGUACGGGCAGACUAGAGUGCGGUAGGGGAGAUUGGAAUUCCUGGUGUAGCGGUGGAAUGCGCAGAUAUCAGGAGGAACACCAACUGCGAAGGCAGCUCGCUGGGACGUUACUGACGCUGAGACGCGAAAGCGUGGGGAGCAAACAGG
rnacentral:rRNA from 1 species